rnacentral:rRNA from 1 species
UCUCCUACGGGAGGCAGCAGUGGGGAAUAUUGGGCAAUGGGCGCAAGCCUGACCCAGCAACGCCGCGUGAAGGAAGAAGGCUUUCGGGUUGUAAACUUCUUUUCUCAGGGACGAAGAAAGUGACGGUACCUGAGGAAUAAGCCACGGCUAACUACGUGCCAGCAGCCGCGGUAAAACGUAGGGGGCGAGCGUUGUCCGGAAUGACUGGGCGUAAAGGGUGCGUAGGCGGCAUAAUAAGUUAGAAGUGAAAUACCCAGAGCUUAACUCGGGUGCUGCUUCUAAGACUGUUGAGCUUGAGUGCGGGG